rnacentral:rRNA from 1 species
GUGUUGUCCGGAUUUACUGGGCGUAAAGGAUGCGUAGGCGGACCUUUAAGUCAGAUGUGAAAUACCCGAGCUUAACUUGGGUGCUGCAUUUGAAACUGGGUGUCUAGAGUGCAGGAGAGGUAAGUGGAAUUCCUAGUGUAGCGGUGAAAUGCGUAGAGAUUAGGAAGAACACCAGUGGCGAAGGCGACUUACUGGACUGUAACUGACGCUGAGGCAUGAAAGCGUGGGGAGCAAACAGG